rnacentral:sRNA from 1 species
AUACCUCCCCGGCUCCGCUCGGUUCCUGGCCACCCCGCAGCCCCUGCCCAGGUGCCAUGGCCGCAUUGUACCGCCCUGGCCUGCGGUGAGUGACCCCCGGCCCGGGGCCCACCCGCACCUUCCGCUGCGCUCGCCCCCUCGGGGCUGCCAGUGGCGCUCUCCUGCUCUCAGCCUCCGCCAGGUUUCCCAUCCUAGGCGGAGGCGGGCAGGGGCGACUGCUGUGGGUCCAGCCUCCCGCGCCGCGCGUCUCUUGGGAGGGCAGCCAGCCUGCGCUCCUCGUUUCCGCCUGCACCUCCCCUUCUCUGCCUCGCUCGCCUCUGACCGCGCGAUCUCUAUCUGCCACUCUCAGAACUUCCUCUCUCUCCUCGCUCCUCUCUGCUGAGCCGGGCUUAGCUGGCAUGGGCUGAGCCCCUUGGGCUGGCCAUCAUGCCGUAGCAUCCAGACCCUGCGAGUGCUUAGUGGAGAUCUGGGCCAGCUUCCCACUGGCAUUCGAGAUUUUGUAGAGCACAGUGCCCGCCUGUGCCAACCAGAGGGCAUCCACAUCUGUGAUGGAACUGAG